AAUUGUUCUCCAUGAACGAGGAAUCCCCAGUAAGUGCAAGUCAUCAGCUUGCAUUGAUUACGUCCCUGCCCUUUGUACACACCGCCCGUCGCUACUAUCGAUUGGAUGAUUUGGUGAGACCUUCGGACCGGUCGGCGAAGCGGCCCUCGGGUCGCAUCGCUGUGCUGGGAAGAUGUUCAAACCUGACCAUCUAGAGAAAGUAAAAGUCGUAACAAGGUUUCCGUAGGUGAACCUGCGGAAGGAUCAUUAACGGAUCGUUUUGCUGCUUAGUUAUUAGUUUAACUUUGUAUUAGCAAAACAACUGUAUCCAAACCUUUGUUUGAACGACCAUUGCCCGUUAUCAUGUUUUGAAAAUGGGCUGAUCAGCAUUAAGUGUUGAGGUUAAUGUAGAGUGGCUCAGUACAAUUUGAACGCUUGCUCUGUUAAGCUAUCAGUUGCUUAAACCAGUCAACUCUGCAUUACACGAUAUAUUCAUGGGCAAUCACUGGAAUGUAUUGGCAGCUUUGACUAACCUAAGCCUCAGUUUAACUUCUCUUGAAGCUUGUACUGCCACUUACUUUAAGCUAUCACUUGAUAUGACAGCUCUCCUUGUUCCAUCUGAUUGGUGCCUAGUCUGCGUUUCCUACCAGUAGUGUUUAGCUGCUUGGUGUUGGAUGCAGGGUGUCAGUUUGCCAUAUGUGCAACUGCUGCUAGGCUUAAAUAUCUUAGCUGAAGCCUCAGAUGCAAGGUAACUUCUUGAUGAGAUCAGCGGUUGUUUUAAUAACACCGCUGUAUUUCAAUCUUUAAACCAAACUUUGAGCCAAAAUCAAAAUGAUUUACCUAAAUUAGAGCACUAAUUAAGCUUCUAAUUUAAAAAGACUACAGUUACAACUGUUGGUGGUGGAUCACUCGGCACGCUGAUCGAGGAAGAACGCAGCUAGCUGCGUUAAUCGGUAUAAAAUGCAGGACAUGCCGAAUACUCGACUUUCGAACGCAAAUUGCAGCCUCGGUCAUACCUUGGCUUCGUUUGUCUGAGCGUCGUUAAUAAGCCAAAAACUAUCAAAAGGUCCGAUAUCGUGUCAGUCCUCGGUUAUUGAUUCGUCGGGCCACUUUGAACACUCAAUAUUUCAUUAAAUGUCAAGCUUAUGGAAUGCCCAUGCGAGCGUAAAGUGGUAACACACUUGCGUGUAGUGAAUUAUACUUCACUAAUGUAGGGUACUUUGACAAUACAAGUCAGAGUUGCCUGAGCAAGUGUGGUUGUACCUCCUUUACACAGUCUCGAAUGGAUAUAUUUCAUCACAAGCGACAUAAUGUAAUGCAGUGUUUAAUAUUUUGAUAAUAACUUGCUAUAAACUACCAUAGCAACUUGUUAACCUUCGACCUCAGAUCAAGCGAGACUACCCGCUGAAUUUAAGCAUAUAAAUAAGCGGAGGAAAAGAAACCAAACGGGAUUCCCCUAGUAACGGCGAGCGAACAGGGAGCAGCCCAGCGCCAAGGCUCGACACUCGACGUGCUCAAGCGAUG
rnacentral:rRNA from 1 species